GAUGGAGGGGGAUAACUACUGGAAACGGUAGCUAAUACCGCAUAACCUCGCAAGAGCAAAGAGGGGGACCUUCGGGCCUCUCGCCAUCAGAUGUGCCCAGAUGGGAUUAGCUAGUAGGUGAGGUAAUGGCUCACCUAGGCGACGAUCCCUAGCUGGUCUGAGAGGAUGACCAGCCACACUGGAACUGAGACACGGUCCAGACUCCUACGGGAGGCAGCAGUGGGGAAUAUUGCACAAUGGGCGCAAGCCUGAUGCAGCCAUGCCGCGUGUGUGAAGAAGGCCUUCGGGUUGUAAAGCACUUUCAGCGGGGAGGAAGGCGAUAAGGUUAAUAACCUUGUUGAUUGACGUUACCCGCAGAAGAAGCACCGGCUAACUCCGUGCCAGCAGCCGCGGUAAUACGGAGGGUGCAAGCGUUAAUCGGAAUGACUGGGCGUAAAGCGCACGCAGGCGGUCUGUUAAGUUGGAUGUGAAAUCCCCGGGCUUAACCUGGGAACUGCAUUCAAAACUGACAGGCUAGAGUCUUGUAGAGGGGGGUAGAAUUCCAGGUGUAGCGGUGAAAUGCGUAGAGAUCUGGAGGAAUACCGGUGGCGAAGGCGGCCCCCUGGACAAAGACUGACGCUCAGGUGCGAAAGCGUGGGGAGCAAACAGGAUUAGAUACCCGGGUAGUCCACGCUGUAAACGAUGUCGACUUGGAGGUUGUGCCCUUGAGGCGUGGCUUCCGGAGCUAACGCGUUAAGUCGACCGCCUGGGGAGUACGGCCGCAAGGUUAAAACUCAAAUGAAUUGACGGGGGCCCGCACAAGCGGUGGAGCAUGUGGUUUAAUUCGAUGCAACGCGAAGAACCUUACCUACUCUUG
rnacentral:rRNA from 1 species